rnacentral:lncRNA from 1 species
UUGAUUCGUGACCUACGACCAAAUAAAUGAUCAUCACAAAACUUAUUACAAAUAAACCUUAAUAUUUGCGUUUGGUUUUUUUUCUGCAUUGAACAUUUUGUACAGGUUUCUUCUGUCCACCGAGCAAGGUCAUGAUUUCUUGUGAUAUGACGUGUGAGGUACAGCCAACUAUAUUAGAGUGUACUACGGCUUGGAAAUAUAUUGGGAGCCAUUAGGCAUUUGAGCUGGC